rnacentral:rRNA from 1 species
GACGAACCGAGCGAACGUUGUUCGGAAUCACUGGGCUUAAAGGGCGCGUAGGCGGGCCACCAAGUCGGGGGUGAAAUCCUCCCGCUCAACGGGAGAAUGGCCUUCGAUACUGGCGGUCUCGAGGGGGGUAGGGGCGUGCGGAACACUGGGUGGAGCGGUGAAAUGCGUUGAUAUCCAGUGGAACUCCGGUGGCGAAGGCGGCACGCUAGACCCCAUCUGACGCUGAGGCGCGAAAGCCAGGGGAGCAAACGGG